UCACCUACCCAAGGCAAACAAGGAAAUAGAU
rnacentral:piRNA from 1 species